rfam:Gossypium hirsutum cultivar TM-1 chromosome 20, whole genome shotgun sequence
CUUGAGGAAGCGUUUUAUCCACGUGGACAGAAAACAUGUCCUUGAGGGCACGUUUUCUGUCCACGUGGGCAAAACGCUUCUAGG